rnacentral:rRNA from 1 species
GCAACGCGAAGAACUUACCAGGCCUUGACAUGCAGAGAACUUUCCAGAGAUGGAUUGGUGCCUUCGGGAACUCUGACACAGGUGCUGCAUGGCUGUCGUCAGCUCGUGUCGUGGGAUGUUGGGUUAAGUCCCGUAACGAGCGCAACCCUUGUCCUUAGUUACCAGCACGUUAUGGUGGGCACUCUAAGGGAGACUGCCGGUGACAAACCGGAGGAAGGUGGGGAUGACGUCAAGUCAUCAUGGCCCUUACGGCCUGGGCUACACACGUGCUACAAUGGUCGGUACAAAGGGUUGCCAAGCCGCGAGGUGGAGCUAAUCCCAUAAAACCGAUCGUAGUCCGGAUCGCAGUCUGCAACUCGACUGCGUGAAGUCGGAAUCGCUAGUAAUCGUGAAUCAGAAUGUCACGGUGAAUACGUUCCCGGGCCUU